rnacentral:misc_RNA from 1 species
ACGCAUUCAAACUUCGACGAUGACACCACUCUUGAAAAUGCAACACUGAGUAGGCAUUGUGGUCAACAUCUAUUCGCUGAAAAGAAACGAGUAAAAAGCUACACGAAUGCGCGGCGUUACGUUGUGAAGUGGAAAAUUAAUUUCGUGAAAUUUACAUGUUUUUGUGUAUAAUUGAUAGAAAAUUUUAUCAAAAAAGUGAAAACGAUACAUAAAAGUUGCGUAAACAAUUAAGAUAUAUUAAAAGUUCUAAGUAAUUUUUGCAAAAACAUUGUGGAAAAAAAGCGCUCCGGAAUCGGAAAAUUCGUCGUUUGCGUCGUGAAUCACAUACUCUGAAUAUAAUAGAAAGCGAAAAGUGAAUCUUUUUACAAGUAUAGAAUAUUGUGUAUUGAAUUUAAUAUAAGAAUUUCUUAAACAAUACAAAUUAGAACAAUGUCUGAGGUUGAGAAUAUUAGUGAAAUCCAGCAGAAUACUGUACCAGUCGAACAGACCCUAGCAGAGGUAGAGACAGCGAGUACUCCAGUGUCGGCUGAGACAGAGACGCCAGCUGCGACUGAAAAGCAAGUGGUCAACAACAGCAUUGAAGCUGAAUCUGGUGCCGGCGAUGCGGAUGCGGGCACGAGUGCUGCGGAGGAGGCCAAAGCGGCGGAAUCUUCACCAAAAGUGGAAAGCACAAAGAAGACACCCGUAAAACGCACUCCUUCAAAGCGAAUGUCAUUCAUAGAACGAGCACAAAAGGAAAGCGAGGAACUUGUUAAGAAUAUGGGUGGCAGUUUGGAGUUGGAGGGUGGACGACGAACCCGCUCAAGCGCACGUGGUACACCAACACGAGCUACAGCUGUUUCAACUCCGCCACCCACCAAAAAGGCACGUACUUCGCCGGCUACUGCCAGCAGCACUCCAUCUCGAGUUCGUGGUCGUGGUCGAAAAAUAGACAUAUCAGAAGAUUUAGAAGAGGCUAAAGGGUCAGCCGAUAUAUCCUCGGCUAAUACGCCUGAGAAGUCUAAAACGCCCAAUAAGAAGCAAGAAGCUUCAGAAAAAUCCAAUGACAAAGAGGAAAAUGUGUCCGAACCAACUGUUGAAUCUACUCCUGCCGAGGACGCGGAAAAAGCCACCGAUGAUAAAAAAGAAGAAACCAAGGCAUCUGUAUCAAAUGAGGAGAAGUCGGAAGAUAAAACAGAUACUAAAGCUGAACUAGAAUCUAUUUCCGAAGAAAAACUGAGCGAUGAUCAACCAGCCAGUAAAGAAGCUGAAAAAUCGGCACCAGUAGCCCAGAAGGAUAAAGAAACACCAAUGGAAACAGAUGAUUCUUUGCCUGCGGAUGAACCAAUAGAGACGGCGUCCAGCGCCCCCGAGCCAACACCAGAAGAAGAACCGAAAGUUGAAAGUGUAACAGAGGGAACUGCAGAACCAGCCACCGAAGAAUCAGCUCCAGUAACGGUGCCAAAACAACUUACUCCUGAACCAAUGGAAGUCGAUUCAAAUUCAAAGAGUAGUGAUGUCGAGCUAAUUGAAACUGUGCCACCAGUUGCAGUUGAAAAUUCAACUGAAGUUUCGGCACCGAUCAACGUAGCAAUAAAAACUGUUGCGCCGAUUACUGAAAUUCAAUCGGUUCAGGAAACGAACAUUGUUGAGAUAAAUCUCUCAGAUUCGGAAUCCGAUACCAAGACCAACAAUGUAGACAACAAUGAAGACGCUAAAUUGGAAGAAGCAGUCCAAGCGCCGACUGCUAGGGAUAUGGGCAAUGCAGAAUCAAACGCAAAUGCGUUAAAUACAGCAAAUGAAAUCGAAACUAACGCAAAAGCUGAAGUGACUAUUGAAGUCCCUGUCGCCGUCGAUCCCGCCGCUACAGAAAGCGGGGUCAAUAAUACCAAUAAUGAUGAUAUUGCUAAACCACAAAAUGAUUUAUGUGUACCAAAAGUCGUAUCGCCAUCGAUAAAUAAUGCAAAUAAUGAUGGAACUGUAACAACGAUUUUGUAAAUGCGACAUAAAUCAACGUCUAUUGCUAUUGCUACAAUAGUCAACAGUUAUAAUGCCACGUCGUGCAACAACAAAUGCAGUUAAAACAACCACAAUAUGGACACAAAUUCAACAAAAUUUAAAAUUGUAACUGGAAGGAUUAUCCAGAGAAAUCUUUUCUCUAUUUUUCAUGGCAAAUAUUCAAUUAACCAAAUUGAAGGCCCUUCAACGGAUUAGAGUUAAUACGUAGUAUGUAUGUCACGCUACACAUUUUAUUUUUUUUCUAAUUGGACAACAGAAAACAAAAAAAAAAAUGUAUAAUAAUAUAUUAUAUAUAUGAUUAUAUGCAAAGCUAAACAAUACAACUAUUUUAGAUGAUAAUGACCAUGCAAAACAAUAAACAAAAAACCUAAACAAUCAUUUAUUGUUUUUAUUGCAAAUUCUACUAAAUAAUGCAGUACGUUUUAUAUAAAAAAAAAGAAAAAUAAUCAGUAAAAAAGAAACUACAAAUGUAACAAUUGACAGAUGUGCGUGCGUGUGUGUGGGAAAUUUUAUAUAAUUAAAAUUUACUGCAAAAAAUUGAAUUUCAACUUAAAUAAAAUAUAAGUAAUGCUGUAUAUUAAAGCGAUUAAAUAUCAAGAGCAAUAAUAUAAUAAAAUUAGACUAACAUUAAUUAUAAAAUUAAAUUUUGGAGACAAAGAUAUUAAAAAUAUUCGAAAACUUAAAAAAAAAGAAUGUAUGCACUCGCCAUAAAGCCAUUGUUUUAAAAUUUUUUCAGUAGUCUUAAACAGAAUUUCUAAAGAAAAAAAAUAUUGCCUGCUUUCCAUUUAACAGUUUAGGUUUUACACGGCAAAACCUUGCCGGUUUAGGUUAGAAUUGCAUUUCUGAAAAUAGGGGUUUUGAAUUAAAAUCACUGAAUUUGCAGCAAAAAAACUAUCAAAUAUUUAUUUUUGUUUUUUUUUUCAAAUUGCUCGUUUAAUAAUAUAACGAUGUAUUUCAAAAUUUCAAUUUUGUGGAAAAUCGCAAUCAAAGUUUUAUCAAUUCACACAGUGGGUACACAUAUCUUCGUCAUAUUUGGGAAGUUAACAGAUAACAAUAAUUUUGAUUUACAUCUCUAUAUUAUUAAACGAGCGAUAUAUCUAAAUGUGCUUAGUUUUUUUUUUUACAGGAAGCAGUAAAGCGGACAUUUUUCGACCUGCCAGCGGGUCGAACGGAAAAUGACCUAACUUAUUUACAGUUACAUAUUUUCGAAUGCUUCACAUACAUAUAUAAGUGCUACAUUAUUUCCGAAUUAAGUUUCCACAAAAAAAGCAGAAAAUAUUUCGUUCGACUCAAUAUGCAUUAUUAAAGGAAUUAUUAUAUUACUCCAUGCACCGGUACACAUUUGUUUUGGUCCCUUCUUCUUUUGCAUGCUUUCAUAAUUGUAUGCGUAUAAAGAUUCUCAAUAAAUAUUUAUCAGCAGCGCAUAAUGUUU